AUCAGGGAUCUUGCACAAUGAGCGAAAGCUAGAUGCAGCGACGCCGCGUGAACGAGGAAGUCCUUCGGGAUGUAAAGUUCUUUUCGACGGGAAGAUGAUGACGGUACCGUCGGAAUAAGCCCCGGCUAACUACGUGCCAGCAGCCGCGGUAAUACGUAGGGGGCGAGCGUUGUCCGGAAUUAUUGGGCGUAAAGGGCGCGUAGGCGGUCUCUUAAGUUCGCGGUGAAAGACCGGGGCUCAACCCCGGAGCGUCCGCGGAAACUGGGAGACUGGAGUCUCGGAGAGGCGGGUGGAAUUCCUGGUGUAGCGGUGGAAUGCGUAGAGAUCAGGAGGAACACCGAUGGCGAAGGCAGCCCGCUGGCCGAGGACUGACGCUGAGGCGCGAAAGCUGGGGGAGCGAACGG
rnacentral:rRNA from 1 species